rnacentral:lncRNA from 1 species
AAUAUUACAGCAAGUUUUGGAGCAGAAACUUGGACCAAGAACAUUGUUUGGAACUUUUCAAGAACUAGCUAGCAGCUGCCUUAUUCCUGCAUGCAUUGGGGAUUCUCCUCAGCGCCUGGGCUUCGCAACCAAUGAUGUCUGGGCUUCGCAACCAAUGAUGUCAAUCUACCAGGAGUAAUUGCAAUGUGCCGCCAAUUUCUAUCUCCUUUAGUAUUGCAUUUAAUUUUAGAUUUUAUGUGUAUGACUUUCGUGUGCAAACUCCGUCA